ACGGGCCGAGGAACACGUGAGAAAUCUGCCUUCAACACUGGGAUAACUCCGGGAAACCGGGGCUAAUACCGGAUAUGAAAUCUGCGGGCAUCCGCGGAUUUGGAAAGUUUUUCGGUUGAAGAUGAUCUCGCGGCCUAUCAGCUUGUUGGUGAGGUAAUGGCUCACCAAGGCGACGACGGGUAGCCGGCCUGAGAGGGCGACCGGCCACACUGGGACUGAGACACGGCCCAGACUCCUACGGGAGGCAGCAGUGGGGAAUAUUGGGCAAUGGAGGAAACUCUGACCCAGCGACGCCGCGUGCGGGAUGAAGGCCUUCGGGUUGUAAACCGCUUUCAGCAGGGAAGAAGCGAAAGUGACGGUACCUGCAGAAGAAGCACCGGCUAACUAUGUGCCAGCAGCCGCGGUAAUACAUAGGGUGCAAGCGUUGUCCGGAAUUAUUGGGCGUAAAGAGCUCGUAGGUGGUUCGUCACGUCUGAUGUGAAACUCUGGGGCUUAACCCCAGACCUGCAUUCGAUACGGGCGAGCUUGAGUCUGGUAGGGGAGUCUGGAAUUCCUGGUG
rnacentral:rRNA from 1 species